rnacentral:tRNA from 1 species
GCGGCAAUAGCUCGGUGGUAGAGCCCCCUCCUCGAGUGCGAGGAGACCCGGGUUCGACUCCCGGCUGCUUCC